UGCCAGCCGCCGCGGUAAUACGGAGGGGGCUAGCGUUGUUCGGAAUUACUGGGCGUAAAGGGCGCGUAGGCGGUCGAUCAAGUUAGGCGUGAAAGCCCUAGGCUUAACCUAGGAACUGCGCUUAAUACUGGUUGACUAGAGUUCGGUAGAGGGAAGUGGAAUUCCUAGUGUAGAGGUGAAAUUCGUAGAUAUUAGGAAGAACACCAGUGGCGAAGGCGGCUAACUGGCUCGGUACUGACGCUGAGAUGCGAAAGCGUGGGGAGCAAACAGGAUUAGAUA
rnacentral:rRNA from 1 species